UUUUUUCCCAUAGGAUCAAUGUUAAACUUUUCUCAAGUUUCCAUGGCAAUGGCAGCCAUUUUGAAAAUUCCAAGUACAGUUGGUACCCCAGCGCACCACUGCCAACAUUUACAUAAACUUUCAAGAGGUUGCCUCUUAUAACGAAAGAUUUAGAAUUUUGAUUUUUUUUUACAUUUUUGCAGUUUCCAUGGUAACGGCGGCCAUUUUUUACCAUUCCAAUGUCUCUUGCACAACUUCACAUGGGGGUUCAUAUUAUGGUAUAGUUCCAUCAACUUGGCUCUGACCAAUCCCGAGAAAUAGCAUGGACAAAAUGUGUGGAAGAAUAAAAAUAAUAAAAAGAAAAAAAAGAAACGUACAAUAACAAGAUGUCACCCCAACUUCGUUGAGGGUGCCAUAAAAAGAAAAAAAAGAAACGAACAAUAACAAGAUGUCACCCCAACUCCGUUGAGGGUGCCAUAACUAGAUUUGCCAUUGCAAGCAAUAGCGGAUGGCACCCUUCCCACAUUGCCACUAAACUGCAGUCAGUUGGAAAUUCCAAAGUCAAAGACUGCAUCUACAGAUGUUUAUUAACAUUGUUGUAAAGUUUCCUCAAUUUCGAAGCAUUUUGAAGUUUUUGAAAUUUAUGUAGUUUCCAUGGCAACUGAGGCCAUUUUGGAAAUUUUGAAGUCAAAAGUCUGAUCUUUACUUGCCAUUGGUCAUUUAUAAUGAGUUUCAUUAAGUUUGGAGCAUUUUGAGAUUUUUGGACAUUUUUGCUGUUUCCAUGGUAACAGUG
rnacentral:lncRNA from 1 species